GAUGAACGCUGGCGGCGUGCCUAACACAUGCAAGUCGAGCGAUUCUCUUCGGAGAAGAGCGGCGGACGGGUGAGUAACGCGUGGGUAACCUGCCCUGUACACACGGAUAACAUACCGAAAGGUAUGCUAAUACGGGAUAACAUAAGAAAUUCGCAUGUUUUUCUUAUCAAAGCUCCGGCGGUACAGGAUGGACCCGCGUCUGAUUAGCUAGUUGGUGAGGUAACGGCUCACCAAGGCGACGAUCAGUAGCCGACCUGAGAGGGUGAUCGGCCACAUUGGAACUGAGACACGGUCCAAACUCCUACGGGAGGCAGCAGUGGGGAAUAUUGCACAAUGGGCGAAAGCCUGAUGCAGCAACGCCGCGUGAGCGAUGAAGGCCUUCGGGUCGUAAAGCUCUGUCCUCAAGGAAGAUAAUGACGGUACUUGAGGAGGAAGCCCCGGCUAACUACGUGCCAGCAGCCGCGGUAAUACGUAGGGGGCUAGCGUUAUCCGGAUUUACUGGGCGUAAAGGGUGCGUAGGCGGUCUUUUAAGUCGGGAGUGAAAGGCUACGGCUCAACCGUAGUAAGCUCUUGAAACUGGAGGACUUGAGUGCAGGAGAGGAGAGUGGAAUUCCUAGUGUAGCGGUGAAAUGCGUAGAUAUUAGGAGGAACACCAGUAGCGAAGGCGGCUCUCUGGACUGUAACUGACGCUGAGGCACGAAAGCGUGGGGAGCAAACAGG
rnacentral:rRNA from 1 species